CAAUAAUUCUAGAGUAGAUACACUAAACAAGUUCGCUGUCUCUUUGCGCUCUGUUGUCCCUGUGUUGUGAAAUUGUAGAAAAUGAGUUCACACAAGACUUUCAUUAUCAAGCGUAGGCUUGCCAAAAAAAUGAAACAAAACAGAGCAGUUCCACAAUGGGUUAGAAUGAAAACAGGAAAUACUAUAAGAUACAAUGCAAAAAGACGUCACUGGCGACGAACAAAGUUAGGUUUAUAAACUAGAUGUUCAAAAAAUUAAACCUAAAACUUA
rnacentral:lncRNA from 1 species